UAUAAUUUAAUUAUGUCGUCGUAUAACGUUGGGAAUAAGGCCCAAAAGUCUCUACCGAAUCACCGUAAAUGAUUCGACUACGAUGAGUGAG
rnacentral:ncRNA from 1 species